UCUCUCUCUCCCUUUGAAAAAUGGUUUUGAAACCAUAAAACUUUUUCACGAUUUCGUAUAUGAUAAUAGUCAGAUCGUAAAAAAGGUUUAUCUAUUUCAAAAGGAGUAGAAAUUAUAUUUAAAGUUAAAAAGUUUUCCAUAGUUGAUCUUGAAGGUGAUAAAACAGGUUCAUCUGAAUUUUUUCUCGAUUUAUGUUAACAGAAUCAGUAUAAAAAGGUUGUGGAAUCCUAUUGUCAAAAUCAACUCCUUGUAGAUUUGAAAAACGUGUUGUGUGUGUAGAAGGUAUAGAAUUUUCAAAAGUUGAAAGUCUAGAGGAAGGUAAAAAGGUAAGUGAAAAACUUAUAUGAACAGAACCAUUAGAUUGUUCUAAAAUUUGUGAAACUCUAAAAUUAUUUUCAAUAGAUUGUGGUUUAUUAAUUUCUUGUAAAUCCCAAGUUCCAGCUUGAGAUAAC
rnacentral:lncRNA from 1 species